AAGUGACAUUUUGUACACUAUCUAAGUAGCUAAAAACAAAUGCAUUGAUUAAAAUUACGAAAUUUUGUUAGUGGAAGCAUCAUUAUGUGACUUAAUUUGACGCCAUUAGAAGAAAUAUCAUAAUCUUUUACUCAUUAUACCCAACAAGAGGCUGAUUAAUCUACUGAAUGGUCAGAAUUCUAAUCCUUCUUGAUGUGCAUGGAUUGUAUUUAGAUUCUUUGCUGAGGCCUUUAAAGUUGCAUUCAAUAUGGGCAUUCACCCGUCUCUUGGAAAGUAUUAAGCUCAAGUGCCAUAAAGGGAAUUUCAUUAGGCCACAGAUGUAUAAUCUAGUUAGUUUCUACAAUGAAGGCCAAAAUUGGAUUUGGUCGACCAUAAGGAAAUGAUGUGAUAUUCUUAUAUUCUAUGUCUAAAUGCAUGGUUGUGUAAUUGUCGAGAAGUUUUUUUUUUUUUUUUUUUUUUUUUGAGAGAGAGAGAAGGCAGCUUGCUACCGCUUCAUUCAAUUAGAAAGUAAAUUUAGCUUACACAGUGAGGCAACCAGGCCUCUAUGAGAACAAGGGAGGAAAACAAAGGGGAAAAGGUAAAAUGGAAGCACCGGAGUACAACAAAACAGAAGAGGGGGAAUGGAGGGUCCCUCCUUAGAGAGAAGGGAGAAGAAGUUUUAAUAUAGCUAGUUUUGUCGAGAAGUUUUAAUAUAGCUAGUAUUGCCCUUUGUUUCCAAUGAUUCAUAGUAAAAGCAUGUGAAUUAUGCGUUCCCAGUGUGAAUAAUCCUAGCUAAUGUACUUCGCAUGAGUUGAUGAGGGGACUUAAUUUCUACUUGAUACGAGUGAAUAAUAUGUGAACUAACUAAUUUUUUUCUCCAGUAGCUAGAUUUUUUAGAUAAAUUGAUGUUUCACCUGAUAUCAAAGUAAAAGAUCCUAUAUUUCAUGGGCUAUCAAAAGUCUCAUGCUUAGAUAUCAAAGGAGAACGUUGGAUAUAAAAUGUUAAAAUAUGACUUAGUAGCUUAUCAUCAAAAUAUUGUAACUCCUGCUCUCAUAUUAAUUUUUGAACUAUUCACUAUCAAAAAUUACAUUCUUAUUUAAUGAUGGAAAAAUCCAAAAGAGUGAGUCGAGCUAAUUAAUCUUUUGAUUAUCCUUGUGUUUCUUUUUUUCCUCUCUCCGGUAAGAUGCAACUAUGUUUCGAAUUAACUUGUAAUCUCGGACACUAACAAUCAAGCUUUUCUCCACUAGCGUUAUGAAUCCUUAUGUUAAAUAAUGCAUUCUUAGAUGAAUUAACUAUUCAUUUAUGUGACUGGCUAUGGUAUGCGUCUCACACUAAGAUUGGAGGGGAUGGCUAGAUAGAAAAUAUAAAUAAAUAUAAUAAACUAAAUUCAAGAUAUUUUGCUUGGGGAAAAAAAAAAAAAUCUUUAUUGAUCCUCAAUUGAUUAAGAUACAGAUCAAAUUUAUUUAUCUCCUAAAUUAAGAACGGCGGACCGCCUUAAUUUCUUCACAUGCAAAGGAAAAAGGUGUAAUAUUCUAUUUGAAGCUCUAAUUAAUAAAUCCAUAUUUUUCCUACUUAACUGCUUAAUUAUUUCUCCUGGGGCUAUGCUAUAUCUGCUACAAUUUCCCUUCUUAAGUUAAAUCUAACUAUGGUUACCAACCUAAACCAGUGACAUAUAUAGUUUGGUUAGAUGCUGUAUGAGUGACAACCUUAAGGUGAAGGAUUGAGCCACAAAUGAUUAUAAACUAGUGGAGGCCCGCGCUUCGCUGCGGAAGAUUUACGUAUUUUUUAAAAUAUUUUGAACAAACUAAUAUAUUUCUAUAUUUACGUUGUUAUCAUUUAUUUUUAAAAAUUUGAGCUUAAUUUUUUUAAUUUUUAAAUUUAAUCUUAAUUUUUUAACUUUACAAAAUUAAAGAGAGAAAAAGAACAAAAAAAAUUUAUUUAAAUAGAGGGAAAAAAAUAAUUUGAAAAGUGAAGAGAGCAGAAAAAGGGAAAAAAACAAAAAGAGCGGUGUCCCCCACGCCGCGCUGCGCCCCGCACUCCCGCGUGUCCGCGCCACACCGCGGGCCGCCCCACGCUCCUGUAAUUUUCUUAUUCCAUAAAUUCAGAGAAAACAAUUAAAGAAAGAGUAAAAAAACAAAAAAAUUAAAAAAAAAAUAAUUUUACAUUAAAAAAAAUGAAUUAUUGGCUAAAACUUGGGGAGAGAGAGAGGAGAGAUAUAGAGAUGGGUUGAGAGAGAGAAAGAGAGGUAUUUUAAAUUUGUUUUAGAGAGAGAUUGGGGAAGAUAUUGAGAGAGAGAGAAUCUGUUUUAGAGAGAGAGAUUCGGGGAGAUAUUGAGAGAGAGAGAAUUUGUUUUAGAGAGAGAUUGGGGGAGAUAGAGAGAGAGAGGAUCUAUUUUGGAGAGAGAUUGGGAGAGAUAUUGAGAGAGAGAGAGAGGAGCAGAGAUUCUCUCAAUUUAAAUAGUGUAAGAUAAGAUAUAUAUAUAUAUAUAUGUAUGUAUAUAUAUAUAUAUAUGUAUGUAUGUAUAUAUAUGUAUAUAUAUAUAUAUGUAUAUAUAUAUGUAGGAUAAAUUGCACUAUUACUUUCUGAACUUUUGACGAAGUUUUACUUUACCUCUCGAACUUCUAAAAUGGCCAUCUAACCCUCUAAACUCUAAUAUUUCAUUCAUGUUACCCUUCCGUCAGUUUUCCGUCAAGCUCUGUUAAUCGAAAACUGACAGAAGAAGUAAAAUGAAUGCAAUAUUAGAGUUCAGGGGUUACCCCUAAACUUUUGGCGAGUUUCACUUAACCCCCAAACUCCUAAAAUAGACAUUUAACACCCUUAACUCUAAUAUUUCAUUCGUUUUACCCCUUCCGUCAGUUUCCGGUUAACGAAGUUUGACGGAAAACUGACGGAAGGGGUAACAUGAACGAAAUAUUAGAGUUCAGGGGUUAGAUGUCCAUUUUAAAAGUUUAAGGAGUAAAGUGAAACUUCGCCAAAAGUUCAAGAGGUAACAAUACAAUUUACCCUAUAUACUCGAUAAUAAUAUAGUAUUUAUCAAAAAAAAAACGCGGGCACGCACGGAGCAGGCGGCGGAGCGCGGCGGUCAAGCCGGCGCUAAAGAGGCGAACGAUGGUGGGAGGGAGCUGCGUUUUUAUUUUUGUUUCCCUUCUUUUUUUUUCUGUUAUAGUUAUAUAUAACAACAAAAAUAAAAGAGAGAGAGAGGUGGGAAAAUAAAAAAAAAAAACGCUGCGUGCUCCCAUCACACGGAUCGGCGCUCGCUCUCGCUGGACGCCCGCGCCGCGCGCUGGCUCGCCCCCUGCCCUAACGACGCGCAGUUGCCGAACGCCCACACUGGACCCACGCCAGCGCCCGCAGACGCAACCCGCCCCCACCCGCUCGGCGGGCCGAAGGCAAGAGAGAGAGACAUUCGGAAAAGAGAGGGAGAGAGGGGGAGGAGGAGGAGGGAGAGAGCUUGGGAGCGGAGGGAGAGGGAGUGCAUGCGCGGUCGGGGAUGGGGGGAGCGCGAGGUACCGAGCUCGUGGAGAGAGGAGAGGGGGAGACGAGAGACACGGGGGGUUGGAAGCGGGGGAGAGGGAGGGAGGGGGGAGGCUGGGGGGGGGAGAGGGAAAGAGGGGGAGAGAGAAAGAGAGAGUGUGAGAGAGAGGUCUCUCCCCCUGGUCUCUCUCUCCCAUGCGUAGGCCCCACGCCUCUCUCUCUCUCUCUCUCUCUCUUCCUCUCCUUCUCUCGAGCGCGGAGAAGUGGCCACGUGGAAUAGGAACCCCUGAGCCCGCCACGUGGCUCUUUUGUUCUCUCAAUUAAAUAUUGUUAAGAUAGCAUAGUAAUCCGUAGGAUGCGGCGGAUAGAUAAUUAAAGAAAACAUAAAAAAUUUUGACCAAAAAAAGAGAAAAUAGCGAUAAAAAAAGGCAAUGAUGAAGGAUGGGAUUUAUCUUGCCGUUGAACGAAAGUAAUAGCCGAAGAAAGAGAAAGAGUAAGGACUUGAGCUGGUUCGAGAUGGAGUUUACACUCAACUAUAAAGAAAAAAUUGUCAUGUGGCAACUUCAGAAAAAACAAAUAUAUAGGUAUAGAUUUAGAACUCAUAUCUCUAAUUUUUAUACAUAAGUACUUCAGAAAAGCUUGGGAAGGGAGUGCACGGAUUAAAGAACACACACACCAAAGAAAAGGGAGGAAAAAAAAAAGAAUCCACAAUAGUCUUUAAUCUAGAUUUAGCGGCUAUAAACCGUGAUUAAUUCUAAGAUUUUGAUGAGAUUAAACAAUUUCUAUUGGCAACUCACUGUAUAAUUUUUUCCUCAGCUUCAAUAUGAUGACACCGUUCCUUUUGUUUUGCAUAAAAUAUUAUCUUACUCCAUCCUAAAAGAAAAAAAAUUAAAAAAAGCUGAUUAUUUAAGCCUCGGUUAGCUUUACAGCGAGUUUUGAAGGAAAAUUCAGUAUGAUAAUAAAAUAUUUUAUUUCAAACUCUUGCAUAUGACGAUAAUUUUAUUAUCGUGUGUAAAGCUUAAAAGGACAACACUAUAAAAGACAAAGCGUGGAAAAUUUUAAAACACCAUUACUUCUACACACUAUGCCCAAAAAAGGAAAAAAAAAUAAGGCGCUAGGAAAGUCUUUAAUUUCUUGCAAAAUUAGCAAUGGAAAAAAAAUAAUUAGCAAAAAUUUUACAGAUUUAUGUUACGUUUUGAUGUUGUUACUAUACAAAUGCCGUGUCUACCUUGAAUUGAUUAUUCUCUAAUAAGAUUACCUUUGCUGCUAGGAAUCAUCUUUGAAUUCAAACCACGAAUUACACAAAAUACAUUAAUCUCGAUCGAAAUCAAUGUUCCAACAAAACGUCCAAAAUUUGAUUAAUUGGGAUAUUCUUUCUUAUAUAAAAGUCAAUAAAAAAACCGAGUCUAGAUUCAUCCCCCCUUUCUCAGCUUUUCAGGCACGAACACUCCCCACAAUCCCGUCCACAUUCAAUCCCGCCCACCUCCGCCAAACAAAUAUAAAUAACACCACGCUGAGAUUACAUUAAUGCGCAAUUAGAGAGUGACCACUCUGUCGCGCCCCACUAAUUCCCUUUUUUUUUGCUUUUUUUCUUUUUUUUUUUACUCCUCCUAAUCUUCUUCUUCUUCUUCUACUAAUCCCCAAACUAAAUAAACUACACAAAAAGGGGGGAAGAGCUCGCUCCUUUGCUCCGGCAAUGGCGUCCAUGGCGAUCUCCUUCUCCAAUUCCCAAGCAUUAGCCCAACCAUUCCCCAAUUCCCUCAAAACCCACCUCCGAAAUCGCCCCCGCGCCCUUUCCCCCAACCUCUCCGCCGCGCUCGGGCGCGGCCGGGGCCGGGGCCGGGGCCGGGUCUCGUGCGGAUUGAUCGAGCCCGACGGGGGGAGGCUGGUGGAUUUGGUGGUGGGGGAGGGGGCGGCGAGGGAGGCGAAGCGGAGGGAGGCGCUAGGGUUUCCGCGGAUCAAGCUGUCGCGGAUCGACCUGGAGUGGGUGCAGGUGCUGAGCGAGGGGUGGGCGAGCCCCCUGCGAGGGUUCAUGAGGGAGCCCGAGUUCCUCCAAACGCUUCAUUUCAACUCGCUCCGCCUCGCGGACGGGUCCCUGGUCAACAUGUCGGUGCCCAUCGUCCUCGCCAUCGACGACGCCCAGAAGCGCGCCAUCGGGAAUCGCACCAAGGUCGCCCUCCUCGACGCCGCCAACAACCCCGUCGCCAUCCUAAGCGAGUUAGCAUACUUGUCCCUACUUUGCUUUACCUCUGUGCUUAUAGUUGAAUUGCUCUGUUGAUGAUGAUUUUGUGUUUAUAUGCUCGUGAUGGGGAUUUUUUUUUUUUUUUUGAUCUUUUUAUCAUGUUUCAGUGUCUGAAAGUAUAUGCGCUGUUCAAUUUCGUACUGUGCUCGUCACUCUUGCUUGAUACGUAGAUUAGCUAAUUUCAGUUUGUUUUUCUCUUUUUUUUCCCACUUGACUAGCUAUAAUUUCCUCUUUUUCUAUUUUUUGCGAUAUUAGUGUGGUAGCUCAUGAAUUUGAUGUGGUCCAGUGUCUUUAUAUGCGUGGCCUCUCAUGUUACAAGAGCUUCGGUUAGCUUCUCUGUUAAUUGUUACUUUUAAGAUUUAUUGGUUAUUUUGCUUCUGCUCGUCCAUCAAAUUAAAUUUACUUGUGUUGGCUCAAUUAUAUGAAGCAUUUCUCUUAUGUAUUGGUUUUCUAGUUCACUAUAAUCUGAUUAUCUUGAUAUGAUCAGAAUUUAUGACGUUUCGUACGCACGUGCGCCUGUGUGCGCUUGUGCGUGGAAAUCGACAUGAUCCUACCAAACCGAUGUCUCAGUAACUCACCAGUCCAAAGAGGCAGUGUUGAUUCGGUCAUUUCUCGAUAAAUCCAACACCGUGGGCCCUAGGUCAGUCUAUCAGUUAAGAAUUCACAAUGAUUAUAAAUUGAAAAUUGAUUGACCAAACUUCUUCAACUUUAGAGCAGUAUUUUAUGCCGACACGGUUAUGACGUCAGUUGAAGUGCGACGCUUAUAUACGUGUCCACAAAUACAGAGGAGAAGAUGCAUUCCUGCGCCCUACACUUGUCCUCCUAUGCAUAUAUUAAAAGAUGAAACAGGGUUGUACCCUGUUUGUAACUUAACAAUAGAUGUUUCUUCUAGAGUUCUAAUUAUAUAUUUUACCAUCUUAACUUACGACUUUCCAGUUCAUACUUCACAUGGCGGUUGGUAAUUUAGGCCAUUUGGAUCCUCAAAGUAUACUACAGGGCUUCAGGCGUAAGUAUGUUGUGCGCCAUGAUUAGAUGAAGAUCAAGAAAGAUACCUAUCUGUGAACCAGCUCUCGCUCAUCUCAUCUCUAUGUUCCCUUUGCUUGAAACCUUGGAGUGUGAAACGAGUAGGUGUCUCACAGCAUGUGCAUAAUCCAUCAUAGUGUUUUCGUUGGUCAACUCACACAGCCUCUUGUAGGCAAUAUUCUUCAUGCCUUUUUUGUAUUUUGAACAAUUGACGGUCGUCAUGAGAGCAAAUAUUUGACAUGUCGCCUUCACGGUUACGCCAAACAUAAUAAGACAGGAUAAUAAUAUAGGUGAAUUAAACAUGCAUAGUACAAAGAGAUUAGAUGUUGUCAACGUUGUUGUUAACAUACUUCUAGCAUACGUCAUCGCAAUAUCAUGAAUAACUUGCUCACAGAAGUGACAUCAUCAUUCUAUAUGAUUUCGUGGAUUUGGUCUCAAAUAUGCAUGAAUAUAAUAUAGAUUGUUGUACCUUGUUCUAGAAUCAUUGAGAUGAUAGUUAACCCUUUCCUCCUUUGUUUCAGCAUUGAGAUCUACAAGCACAAUAAGGAAGAACGAAUUGCAAGAACAUGGGGAACAACUGCUCCAGGAUUACCAUAUGUUGAAGAAGCUAUAACCAAAGCUGGCAACUGGCUGAUUGGAGGUGACUUGGAGGUUAUAGAGCCAAUCAAAUACAACGAUGGUCUCGAUCAUUAUCGGCUCUCUCCUGCAGAAUUACGUGAAGAGUUUGACCGGCGAAAUGCUGAUGCAGUAUUUGCUUUCCAGCUACGGAAUCCCGUGCACAAUGGGCAUGCCUUGCUCAUGACUGAUACACGUAGGCGUCUUCUAGAAAUGGGCUAUAGAAAUCCCAUUUUAUUGCUUCAUCCAUUGGGUGGCUACACCAAAGCUGAUGAUGUACCUCUUAGUUGGAGGAUGAAGCAACAUGAGAAGGUUGGUAUAUGUACAUAUUUUCACCUAUUGUUUUGGCUAAUAAUCAUCCAUUUCUUUUUCUAGUAUUGCAAGAGUCAGACUAUCUAGUCUCAUAAAAGGCCAUCUAAGAAACACAGAUUAAAACAGUGAGAAAAGAUAUGAUGGUCCCUGUCAACUGAUGGUGCUACCUAAAAGAGUGCUGAGUAGAGAAAAUGAUUGAAUUGUCCAUCAAAAGUGAUUAGACAUAGGCUUUCUUUGCCAUUCAUGUUGUCAUUCUGUGGCACCAUAGAAUCUUUGCCAUUCAUGUUGUCAUUCUGUGGCACCAUAGAAGCACGCGUUAGAAAAAACAUAUUACAGUUUACAUAAUCGGUACAAAUGAUAUUUUCUUUUUCUCCUCUGAUGUAUGACAGGUUCUUGAGGAGGGUGUUCUUGAUCCAGAGACAACAGUGGUCGCAAUCUUCCCCUCUCCCAUGCACUACGCGGGUCCAACUGAGGUGCAAUGGCAUGCGAAAGCCCGCAUUAAUGCCGGCGCAAACUUCUACAUUGUGGGUAGGGACCCAGCUGGUAUGAGCCACCCCACUGAGAAAAGAGAUCUCUAUGAUGCUGAUCAUGGGAAGAAGGUACUCAGUAUGGCCCCUGGACUUGAGAGGCUGAAUAUCUUGCCCUUCAAGGUAUGUCGACCUUAAGAUAGUCUAUUAUUCUCCCACGUUUUUCUUGUCGUUAAACAAGUUUAUAUGCCUAACAUUACGUAGCCCUCCAAUCUGUAGUUUUCUCAGUUUAUAUCUGCAAAUGCAUUUGCUGAUAUUUCAUAAUCUCUGUUCUCUUGCAUCAUGGCUGUGGAUAUAGGUUGCUGCCUAUGACAAAACAAAGAAUAAAAUGGAUUUCUUCGACCCGUCAAGAAAAGAUGAUUUCCUGUUCAUCUCCGGUACAAAGGUACUAUUCUCCACUACAAUAUGCACUACCACAAGCAUCCGAACAGUUUAUUCUGAAAUAUAUUUCUUGCAAAUAAUUGUUAUGUAAAAUGACUUGGUUAUCAACUGCAGAUGCGGAAUCUAGCGAAGAAUCAAGAGAAUCCACCCGAUGGCUUCAUGUGCCCUGGUGGCUGGAAAGUGCUUGUUGAAUACUACAACAGUUUGGCUCCUUCCGAGAACGGCAAACCCCGUGAAGCAGUUCCUGUUUGAAUUGUAAAGCACUAGGUGUUGUGUAACCUUGAUCACCUAAAAACCUCCUAGCUGAUGAACACAACCAAAUAAAACUAUCAGCUACUUACCUGUGUGAAAGCUUUGUGCUUGGUUUGUCUUAAUUAGCGAGCAAUAAAAAACACACCAGAAUGUGCUGGGGAGCAAGUGGUAUUGCUCUUCUUGUUGUACAUAAUCGAAAUUAUGUGUGACCUUAUAAGCACCGGUGCUUGCUUUGCAGUUUUUGCUAGAAUUUGGGUUUGGAAGAAACCGGAUUCCAAAUUAUGGGAGAUUUGGUGGUUCUCGAUACUUACGUAAUCACUAGUGACGAUGAAAAGGAAAUCGUUUGCUUGGAAGCUGAUUUAAUUAGAAGCUGAUUACAAUUAAAUCGAUAUCCUUUAUGUGUAGAACUGGUUUUCCCGAAGGAUUUGCUCAUCGGCGAUAAUUGCUUGCUUUAGAAGAACGGAGGCAGUUGUAGAAUGUUUAAAUGAGACGCUAGAAAGGUGAGUUGUUGCUUGCUUUAGAAGAACGGAGGCAGUUGUAGAAUGUUUAAAUGAGACGCUAGAAAGGUGGCAACUCACCGCAGAACGUUAAAUCAUCUGCUCCCAAUGACAUAGUAGAGGAAAUGAUUAAUCCAACUGUUUACAAUGCUGCUGGCAGGGGCUCGUCUCAAGAUGCAAUCAGGUCCCCGUCACCAAAAGUAACUAACUGUCUCUCGUAAGAGAGAGAUGCUCCUCGUGGUACAGCAGAUUUCAUUCAAGUUACACUUCAUAACCGGCAGGUUGUUAUUCUGAAAGUGCCUCAUACUAUAUAAUCUGAACCACGGACACCAAGUAUAGAAAUUAGCAGAUUUACGGCUACGACUGGUAUUGAAAAUGUGACUCAGGAUGCACCUUCUCUCACUUGGCUGCAUUUAUCUUUGCCCUUAAAUGUAAAAUUGUACGGAUGGCGCAUAGACAGUUUCCCAUGUUUAACAGCAUUGAGUAUUCGUAAUAAGAGAGGACAGCUGCUCAACUUAACAACUUGCGAUGUGAAAGGAACCGACAACCCAUAAACAAACGAAGCCGAACUAAUUUCACCAAACCAAUCAGAAUGCAUCAAUACAAAUACAGUGUUUGUUUGUUUGAUCUUGUAUGAUAGAUCAUGGCGUACACAGGGAAAAGAAAUAUUUGCGAUACAGUGUAAUACAAUUAACGAGAGUUAUACAUCACGAGGUGGGCGCCGCACUUGGAUUGCCACCUACUUUUUGCGCUAUCCAUCCGAGGCCGUUGUACAAGCCAUCGCCCGUGAGGGCACAGCACGCCUGGAUGUGCCAAUCGUGGGACUUGAUGCUGUGGAGGGAGAGGGCAUCGGUGAUCUCAGCCGCCGACAUGGCAUCCUUGAGAUCCUGCUUGUUUGCGAACACCAGCACUGCUGCACCCUCCAGGUCCCCGUGCUGCAAAAGCCGGAAGAGCUCGUCCUUCAUGAUGGAUAUCCUGGCCCGAUCUGUGCUGUCUAUCACUACGAUCACGGCAUGGGUCCCACGGUAGUAUGUGGCCCACGAGGGUCUGAGUCUCUCUUGGCCCCCCAGAUCCCACACCUGGUUUUGUUAAAGAAAACAGCACAAGGAUGAACUUUUAUUAAUUACUAUCAGAACUAAUCACAUUAGUAUAUCAUCAAGAGUGAUAUUUGACUAGCCGCCUUCAAAAGGACAUCACAUGAAUCUUAUCGCCAAAAUGAACCCAAUCAAGAAGGCUCUGCUUUUAUCCAUUUCAUCCAUAAUUUAUUCUUGAUAAUACAUAUAGUUUCGACGUGCCCUAAAACUCUCCAAACUUUUUGCCUCACCCACACAAGGACGUGAAAAUUCUACCUGAAGAAUCAAUUUUACAGCAGAAAAGCAGAUCCCCAACUAAAUUGUAUAUGAGAAUCUGUUGAAAUCAAUGACGACAACGGCCACAUAAGUUCCAGAUGCCAGAAUCAGACAAGCAGCAAUCCAAUAUUCCCUUGUGCAACUUCUAUGAACUAUUUCCAAGAGGUGGAGGCAUCAUCUAUAUGCCAUUGCAAUCAAAAGUAACAAAUAAACCAUAACAAAAAGUCAGGUCAGGUUACAAGGACUUUCAAACUAAACAACUACGAUUUCAUAUUCGAGAAUAUGGAAAAACUCCAAAGAAUAACAAGACAAACUCAUAUUAUUGCUAGCAUCGAUCCCUUUCCAAACAUAUUGGCACAGUAUUUACACAUAAAACUUGGAAAACUAGAGUGCAUGAGCAGGUUUAAUGUACAACUCUACGAACUCUCGCAAGCUAAAGCUACUAACUGAAAAAAAAUAGGCCCGGUGAUGAAUUGAGCUAGAUCAAUAACAUAACAGUCGGCAAUUCAGCAUUAAACCCUAAUCCCUCGGAUAAAUGGCAAUAAAGCAUACCUUCCAACAACCAUUCAGUACCACACACCAAACAGCAAACGCAUCCCCAAGCAAGGAUUUGACCGACCAUGUGUAAUUACUAUAGACGAGUAACUAGAACUAGAACUAAGAAUACAAGAAAUCCCUAAAAUUGCAGCCAAAAAAAAUCUGAUGAAACAAAAGGAAAGGAACAAAGCAACGAGCCUCACUAACCUCAAAACGUAUGUUCUUAUACACAACCUCCUCGACGUUGCUCCCGAUGGUAGGGUUCGUGUUCACGACCUCUCCGAGGUGCAAUUUGUAUAGCGUCGUCGUCUUCCCGGCAUUGUCGAGCCCCACCACGACGAUCUUGUACUCCUUCGCGGGGAACAUCAUGAACCAGAACCUCGACAACAGGGCCCCCAUCACGAACUCACCACCUCAGCACUCAAAUCUAGCCCAAAAUGAAAUCAGUAGAGUAGAAACAAUCUUAAAAACCCUAAUUCCCACUGAUUUGGUAGAUUUGGCAAAUGCUAACGAAGGGAGAGCUCGUGGAUCGGGAUCAUACCUUGAUGAGAGGAGUGGAGUAGCGGAGAGGUAGGGUUUCCUCUGGCCCUUUGCGUUGAGGUGAGGGAAGGGGAUUGGAAAGGGGGCCAGAGAAACCCUAGUUUUAGGAGGACGGAAGGGAAAGGGGCGGGGAGGGAGAAGAGUCGGGAUCGAGACGAUACGGUUCGGAUCGGUGGGAAAUGGCGCGGCUCACAUGCACUCAAAGGACCAGAAUUCGGCAGUGGGGGCUUUGCAGCGCCGACUUCUGUAUAGAGUUUCUUCUGCGGUCGGUAGCUUCCUACAUAUCAUUGCCGACUACGAGGCACUAGCUACUAAAGCCUUUUUUUUUUCCUUUUCUUUUCUUUAGAUCCACACACAACUGUAUUUUUUUUUUUUUUUUCUUGUACGCAUUUUGCAAAUGGCCUAGCUCAAUAAUUUUGUUCUAUUAGAUAAUAGUUGACAUCGAUUAAAUAACUACAUCUUCAUUUAUUUCUUAAAGGGUAAAAAAAAGGUAACAUAUUGAACUUUCGUAACAUUGUCUAAUGACCAUUUGCUCAAUCAACAAAUAUUAUCAAUUGCAGCCCAGUGGAUGAGAAAUCAUCUUUUAUUUGGCCAAAAAAAAUAUAUUUUGAAAUUACAAACAAUUAUAAUUAAUUCUAGAUUGCAAAUUACACAAAAGCAUUAUUCGGAAAAAUAAUAUAUGGACAAAAUCUAAGAUUGUAUAUACUGCUGAAAAGACAACAUCCAUGAGGACAAUAGUACAAACGAGGAAAAAGAACACCUCUUACAGAAAGAAACACUGAUUCAAACAAACCCAUAAACCAAAAUGAAAUCAGUUUAAACACGAAUUCACUCUAUCAACAAUCAGCUGUAUGAGAAAUUCAUCAACAGAUUCAUUUGCACAAGCAACAUAAUAGUUAUCAUUCCGCAACUGAAUGAGAAAGUCACACAUCUAACAUGUACUAAACCCAGCGUGUGCGUCUAUCUCAACUGCCCAUGAAAGGCAGAAACCCAAUAAGAACAGUAAUUUUUUCACACAGGAGAAAAGCAGUUCACACUUGACACUUAAAAAAGAACACCCUGCAUCCAACAUAACAAAAACCGAAAAACCGCAUCGUUAACACCAAGAAGUAUAUCCUUACAAAUAUAAAGCCCCCAUAAGAGUAAUAAGUAAGACGAGAAUAAAUUCAUUCCUUGGUAGACUUGUUGAUGAGGGAUUUGUGGAUGUGAGGGAUGACUCCGCCCCCAGCGAUGGUGCCCUUGAUGAGGGUGUCAAGUUCUUCAUCACCGCGGAUGGCUAACUGCAGGUGGCGAGGGGUGAUACGCUUAACCUUAAGAUCCUUGCUGGCAUUCCCUGCCAGCUCCAACACCUCAGCUGUCAAAUACUCGAGAAUGGCUGCUGAGUAGACAGCUGCAGUGGCCCCAACACGACCAUUUGCUGCAAUUCUAGACUUCAGUUGACGAUGGAUGCGGCCCACUGGGAACUGUACAGAUAUAGCAAAAGAUAACAAGAUCAAAAAUAAAGUAGAACAAAAAUAUGAAGACCUUGCCUAAAGCAUAUAGACAACUAGCUGAACUUUAAAAAUUUCAAUUUACCACCGGACCUGUCAGUGUUUUCAUUUCAAAAGCAUCCUGAACUUAGCAGUUUCUGUUAGUUAAGUUACAAAUUAUUCCCUUGAAACAAUUUAAAAGACCAUUGAAUUCUUAUGAGAACUACUGUACAAGGGUAUAGAGUCAAAUUUUCUGAAGUUCAAGUAACACCUGCAUGCUUUCACAAAUUAAGCAAUUCAAAUGAGAGAAGAGAAGCUGGAGAGUUAAAAAGAAAGCGGCUUACAAGAAUGCAAACAAUUAAACUGAAAAUGAGACAUUAUAUUGAUAUUGCUCCUAAAAUACACAAUAAACAGAAGCAGGAAGCAAAAAAUAUUGAUUACAAACUAGCAUUAGCAUAAUAGAUCAAUGUAGGUAUUAUUAAUUUCUCUAGGUGAAAUACAACAUAUAUAUAGUUCAGAAAUAAUUAGGUAACUUUUCAAUGAGAAAACAUUUUAACUACUUCAUUUCUUACAACGAAGGGUGAUUUCCACCACGUACACGCAGAAACUCUAUUCUGAUGCUUAAUAUUCAGUUCAUAAUUGCAAUUCUUAAGAAAUAUUUCCUUUUAUUUUCUUUUCAAGUAAUUUAAAAUAACGUUUGCAAGACAUCACCAGAUCUUCACCACAAUUGCAAAGUGAAACAACAAUGCAAGCAAGAUGACUCAAGGUUGUAGAUCUGGUACAUAACACAAAAACCCAUAAAGAGAUCAAACGCACGCAUCUAAGAUUUAUCAAGUCUAGCACAUAGAUUUUACUAAGAUGUAUACAUUAAUACAUCUUAGCAUCCUAUUGUCCUAUCUAUGAAGCAGAAUUUUCUAAUCUCACAAUUUACCUAUAACAAGACCCACCCCUCAUUGAGAGAAACAGUACCGAACACUUAAUUUCAUUACAUAUUUAAUUAAAAGAUGACGAUAAAUUAUUAAAGCGGAUCACUCUGGAAAAAGAACACUAAAUUCGUGAUGAACAUAAACCGAUCGGUAAAAUGAGAAACCAGUUUUUUUUAGGAUCGCUAUACUUCUCUAAGGAUUUAGAUCGUUCUAUGGAGUGAAACGGAAGCGGUAGCAGAUCAGGAGCAUUAUACCUGGAGACCGGCUCGCGUAGACCGCGAAACCGCCUUCUUCUUCUCCUUGUCCUUGUUCGCCGCCGUCGUCUUCGCCGCCAAAAGCCCCUUUCCGCCUUUCCCCGCCAUUGAUCGCUUAUCCGAGCUCGUUCCAAACGAAAAAAACCCUAAACCUAAAACCAGAGACGGUAAAAGAGAACCACAACAAAGUUACUUCAACAAAACCCUAAUACACAAAUCAAAUCGAAGAAUCGGAGUACUACCUUCUCUCUCUCUCUCUCUCUCUCUCUCUCUCUCUCUCUCUCUCUCUAUUACACAACGAAAAAAAAAGUUGGAGGGAGAAAGAAAUGGGUUUGAAUUUGGAUUUAUCAAGAGGUGGAAAUUUUGGGUAUUUUGGGGCGGGGGGAAAAAAGCGGUAAGUGUGUUUGUGGGUCGAAAUUUAAAUUGUCUUUUAUUUUUCGAAAAUGCCCUCGACUUUUUAUAGCAAGGACAAGGAAGCAACUAGCGUGAGUGAGCUGGAUGCGAGGGGAUUGCGUGAAAGCGUGUGAUUGGUUGACGGGAGCGUUCCGGGAUCCGGAGCUAGGAUGGCCAAAAUGCCGAAAAUGCCCCCCACAGCGCCUUGCAUAAUUGGAUUAAAUAUUUAUAUUUAUAUCUGCAUAUGCUCGUCUCGUGACUCGUGAGGGAAUGAUGGCCUAGUGGGUGGUAGGCGACUGAAGUCCAGGGCCCAAAUGGCCCAUCGUCUAUUAAAUACUAAUAUUUAUUUAAAUAUUUUAAUAAAUUUUAGAAUUUUAUUAUUAAAAUAACAAAAAGUUGUAUCUUAUAAUAAAAAAAAUUAAAAAAAAAUCUAUAAUUUUUUACUGCGAACCAAACAACAGAAAUAAUUAUUUACAACGAAAACGACUUCUCCCUCUCUACUUUCAUUCCACUUCCAUCUAAACGAACAUGUGCUGUACUUCAAAAGGAUGCAAAAUAAUAAACAAACAAUCACACACACACACCCAAAACUAUGCUAUUUGGGCCGAGCCUGAUUUUUAAGAACUAGGCUCAAGCCCAAUUUAAACAUUUUUAUUUUCAGGGCAGGCUCGGGGUCAGGCCGUCCAUUUAACAACCCACUUUAUGCCCGGCCAUAUGGUCCAGCUGCAACACAAAACUCGGUUAUGGAAGGAUAAAAUAUGGUAUCUAACUUGAUUGUAUUACCGACCGUCCUUAAAGUAAGUGGCAAAUGACUUGAUGACUGAUACCCGAGAUCCAAGUUUGAAUCCUAGUUGAUUUAUAUUUUCAGCUAAGUUUAUUUUUAAAUAAAAUAAACGAAGCAGGUAGCGUGCUACCUAUCUCUCUAACAAAAAAAAAAAAGAAAAAACUUGAUUGUAUUAUGUCAUAGUCGAAAGCGUAUAAAUCAAAUUUAAUAACUUUUGGAUUAUGUUAUUUUCUGAAUCUAACCAUAUUUCUUUCUAUGCCAUUGAUGGUGGAAAUUGUUCAAUGCCUCUAUAAUAUGCAUCAAUUAGAAUGCAAAACAAACUCUUAUAUUAUUUAGACUGCACCAAUCGAAUUACAUUCUAAGUAUGAUAUAUAUAUAUAUAUAUAUUAAUUAAUCAUUGGUAUUAUUCACUUUGUUUUUAAUUGAUAUACCUUGAUUCUUAAUUAAUUUAAUUUCCGUUUUACACUAAGAUUAAAAUUUUUAUUAAAUUUAUUGACUCGGUUAAUUAUUACUCAUUGGUAUUAUUUAUGUGGUAAAAAUAACAAAAAUUAUUAAAUUUAAUAAAAUUAUCAAUAAAUAUAAUAAAAUCUCUAUAAUUUUAAAAUACAAAGGUUUAAUUUUUAAAAAUAAAAGUUGAGGAACCACUAUUUCGAAAUGCCUAUUGCCUAAUUAGUCCGUGGUCUCCGUACAUUCUUACGCCUUUUUUUUGUCCUUUUGACACGUUGCGACUCCUGUGUAACGGUUUUAGAGGGAGAAAAGGUUUAAUUAUGAGGGAUAAUUUUAUAGAUGCAACCAUUAAUUUUAUCACUAUCCUUUUAAAAUUAAUAAUAUUAUGAAUAUCUUCUAAAAAGAAACAAUUACUUAUAUAUUUAUGAAAAAUUUUCUACUUUUUCAUUUAUUUUUUUUAGAAGGCUAAUAUUACAAAUAUUAUUUUUGUGUUCCAACUUAUUUCUAAUAUCUCUAGAGUUAAAUUCUAUUCACAAUAACUGUUAUCUCUAUAAAAUUACUAUUUUACCCUUUCAAAUAUAACUUUUUAUCAUCACCAAUUUUUCUUAUUUGUUCUAAAAUUAAGAGCAUAAAAAGUAUUUUAAUUUUUUGUCUUUUCAAAUAUACCUUUCUAUCAUCACCAAUAUUUCUUAUUUGCUCUUAAGUUGAGGACGAAAGAGAUAUUUUAAUUUUUUUUAACUCUGAUAGAUAUUUAACUCAUGUUUAACUUAACUUAAUGGAUGGUAACUGUAGUGAUAUUUUGAAAUAACGGAGGAACAUAUAAAAGGUAUAUCGAAAAUAAAAAAAAAAGAUUAAAUGACAUAUAUUUUUAAAAUUUUGAGGGAUAUAAAGACAAUCAUCCCUAUUAAAACUUUAUAGGGGGUAUAAUAUUUUCCAUUGGCUAUCUAUGAAAUUGCCGCACGGAUUUCAAAUAUCCUCGAACAUAUUUAAUAAAUUAAUUUAGGUUUAAAAUUUAUCGUUAAUGUUCGGUUGGAUCCGUACGAUUGUGUAACUGCCUGUACGAUGGUCUGACUGCCUAUAUAUAUAGAGAGAGAUGUAAAGUUUGGCGGUAACAAACUACUCGCGAAGCUUUUCGAAUUCCCUCUGCUUCUCAUCCCCACCUGAGACUGAGAUGACGUUCUUUCUCAGACUGCUUCUCCAAACGCCGUCGAUCAGACUCAGGAAUCGGGCGGCGGCUGCGGCGCGGCGGGCGGCCGCUGCGGCGAGGCGGGCGGCGGCUGCGGCGCGGCGGGCGGCUGCUGCGGCGCUGGGAACAUCGAGGGCGGCUACGGCGGCGCAGCAGCUUUCGGAGGCUGCAGCGGCGAUGGCGGGGUCGGCUUCGUUAGAUGCUCCACGCGAUCAGCCGCUGCCGCCGGAGCGGCAGGCUUCGGUGGCUGCCCCAGGGGAUCGAUCGCCUCCAGCGGCUAUGGAUCUCCCUCUCCUCAAGAGACCAAGAGAGGAGGAGGAUCUCCCUCCCCUCAAGAGACCAAGAGAGGAGGAGGAGGAGGAGGGGAAGGCGGCGAAGAGGACAAAGGUGGAGCGGCGGCCUCCAUCGUCGGAGGAUCGGCCACCUCCGCAGGCGGGGACGCUGAAAAGAAAGCGUGAGGCCGGAGACGAGGGCCGAAAGAAAAAGAAGAAGCGCAGACGCCGCGGUCGCCGCCGACGCCGCCUACGACGCGGUCGCCGCGGUCGGCCGUCGGCGACGUCGGUACUCGCGUCGCCGCCGGCGCCGCGGUCGCCGCCGGACGUCGGUGGCGGCGGGUGGAGAGUGGGGCGCCUGGACGGAGGCGGCCGCGGCUGAGAACCGCGGGCGUGGUGGCGGUCGAGGCGGCCGCGGGGCGUCGAGGUGCCGCGGGGGCUGGGUCCGGAGUGGCCAGGGGGGCGGUCGAGGUGCCUCGGGGCCGAGGAGCGGCCGCGGCGGCGGUCGAGUGGCCUCGGUCCGAGGAUUAAUGCGGACCGCGUCGUCAAUCGAGGUGGCCUCGGGGCGAGGAGGCGCCGCAGGCGGCGGUCGAGGUGGCCUCGGGGGCCGGAGGAGCGCCGCGCGGCUAAUCUGAGGUGGCCUCGGGGGCCGAGGAGGCGGGCGCGGCGGCGGUCGAGGUGGCCGUGGUGGCGGAGGACGCCGCCGCGCAGGAGUUGCAUAAGGGCGCGGCAGUGCGGAGGAGCCCCUGGAGCCGCGUGGAUAAGCAUUGCAAGUACAAUUACCGAACUCUCUUGCAGCAGUAGUUAGUGUCACUGCGUCCAUUGCUUUUCUUCUGUACCCUGCAGUAUCAUUGCGUUUCGCCUAUACCGUCUCUGUCACUUGCACGUUAAUACUGCUUUCAAUACAGACCAAUUUCAUUUGCAUUGUCUUGCUAUGCUUUUUAAUUGGUAAAAUUCUCUCUGCAUAUUACCUAUUGUCACGUUAAUUUUACUGUCUAAAAACAAAGGUACCUUUAUGAAGGGAUAAAAGGGGAAUACAUUAUCAAAGAAAAUAACCAAUCCUACAAAAGGCUACAAACUUCUUAGGACGUAAGUACAAUUAAAAGCACGAGAUACCUGUAGUGUCGGAAGGAAUUGAACUAAUAUAUUUGGAUACAAAUCAUAAAAAUAGCAAACAACUAUACAGUACCAUCAAAUUUAGAGUUCUUGAAAACAGAAGAAUUCACUUGAUAGUUAUAAUCUAUCAGAUACGCCUGGUAUUAAAUGAUGAUUCCAAACAUGACCACAAAGGCUGAUAAAUCAUAAAAUGUCUGAGACGUAUUGUAGGUCCUAAUCAAUAAAUUUGAGGAUCAAGAUCUAACUAACUAAGCAAUGAGCCAACAAUACAUUAGUAGAGUAGGAAUACCAUCAGGGAUUAAAACAAAAGAAGACAAUAAGAAAAUGAGGAAAAGAGAUACAAGCUGCUCAUUAAGCAUCAAGAAACAAGAAAAAUAGAAUUAUGACAACAUGGAAUAAUGUGGAUGAAUACUUUAAACAAGAGGGGAGACCUAAAAAGAAAAAAAAAAAUACUGCAACUUAGACUGAUACAGCUGGGCCUAGAUAGUUGUGACAAUUUGUAGUAUACUUUAUGGUAUUUUGAUUCCUAAAUGCCCAGUUUUUAUGAGAAUAGCAUUUCAAUGCCACACUUGUUUGAUCAUUACUGUAGAACGAAAUAGAAUAUAGGGGUGAUUAUUUGUUCUCAAAUUUUAGAACCGAUAGAAAUCCGGUACUCACUCCGAUAUCAACUAUCGUUGACCCACUGACAGUCUCUAGAGCAAGUGGCAAAGGACUUGAUGGUUGAUAUCCGAGAUCUAAGUACGAAUCCUAGUUGAUUCACAUUUCUUGCUAAAUUUAUUUUUAAAAAAAUAAACGAAGCGGGUAGCGUGCUACCUAUCUCUCUCAAAAAAAAAAAACUAUUAUUGACCCAGUGCUCAAUAAGGUACCGAUUGUUGAGAUUACGUAACGAAAGCGUGAAACCAAUAUUUCUUUAUACUUGUUUUUUUUUUUUUAGCUACUGUUCAUUCAUUCUUAUUCAAUGGCUUAGAUUUAAUUUUUUUUUUAAAUUAUGACCUGCAAUAGUAUAUCACUUUAGGAAGAUAUCGGUUACCAGGUAUUGGAAGGAUAUUUUUAUAUUUUUGUAAUUUUAUCAUUACUAUAUUAUUAAAUUUUUAUUCUCUCUCUGUUUUCUUUUUAUCUCUCUCCCUUUUCUCUCAUAUUUCAACAUUUCAUGUAAGAAAAGUUUCAAAUUAUUUGAUAAAAUGAUCUCAGAAGAUAAAUUUUCUUUUCUUUUUGUUUAAUUGUUUAAUAUUGCAAAUGAGUUUAAUUUUAAAAAACUAUUAUGCAUUAAAAUUUAUUUUGUGGAUGAACUAUGGAAUUUGUCUAUACCCACCUUGAAUCUGACUCAAAUCAUAUAUAAAGUUUAAUAUUAUAUUCAAAUUUAUAUUUAAAAAAUUUAACAGUACAUAGUUCCAAUAUGAGCGAUGAAUAAGCAAGUGCAUCUCAAUAUAGAAUACAAUAUUUGAUUACACAACAGGAAAGGCCAAUUAGUUCUACACGAUUCACAGAGUUACGCGAGAAGAUUAAUUAUUAGAGAAUGAAAAAAGGAGGUGGGGGAAGGGAUCAAUGAGAUACGCACUUAUAAAAACUUUAACAGCCGAGCGAAUGCGGUUACCAUAAUAGAACAGAAAAAUUGCCAGCAGGAAGAUUCUAGAAUGACAUUUGAAUAUUUUUCUAUAUUCAAAUAGUUUUUUCUAUAUGCUUUAAUGGCAAUUCAUGAAAAGAAAAAAAAAAAAUCAUAGGGUAAAGUGAGAAAGCACUGAACCACAAGGGUGAUGUUUGAAAUAUUUCCUAAAAAAUUUCUUAGGUGUCACAAAAUUUUCCACGGCACUUACCAUUGUCCCAAAUAGGCCCAAAAUCUUAGGAUGAUUGUUGAUUUUGGAAGCAAAACUUCACUGAGACAGUUUGGAAUAUCACUUCCGUGUCUAAACCUCUAAUUUCAUUGCAAAUUGUACAAUAGAUCUAAAACUAAAUAAAAAAAAGAUCUCGUUCAUUUGAGCUGUUGUGAUUGUGCUCUAUAGAAAUAAAGAGACUAUUAUAUAUGACUUCUAAUACACGAUCACUCACCACUAUUCAAAAGAAAACAAAGUGAACCUUGGAAGAGAUCCCUUGAGUAAGCUGCUUCAAAAGAAUUGACUUCUCUGCUUCGGUCCAACAUUCGGAAGACUCGGCAUGUUUCCAAGACCAACCAACCUGUGGGGAUAUGGAACCACGAGUAAUCAUCAUAAACCUGAGCUCUACGGCUUUCGCUAACAAAAAACUAAGAAACGCUAUCUCGUAGGGCCUCCCUUUGAAUCUGUGCAGCUUGACUUCCUUCAAAUGAGAAUGCUGCGUAUCAGAAGGCUUCCAUGAUAUUGUUGCUUCAUUAUUCCUGCAUUUCGCACUGAGCUUAACCUGCAAAAGCUCGAGUUAACAUGAUGUCAGAAUGUAUUAUAACCCAGUGACAUGUAUGUAGAGAAGCAGAGCAAUAGUGACUUUUGAAAGUAAAGACUCUGCCGAUCUUGUUAGACCCGGCAUAAAUGACGGAAAGCAAGUAUAGGCUGGCUAAUCUUCAUUUCUCAUUCGAAGGAAGUACAGGGUAACUUUAGAAGAUGAUGUAGACCAAGUUCAGGCUAACUUUCAGAAAAUUUGAAAUUCAAAAAUUUGAAUUUUAAAAAUUUGGGAUCUGUAAUUUGAAAAUCCAAACCUAUAAUUUUAAAAUUAAAAUUUUAAAUUUUAAAAUUUUCCAAAAAUAAAAUUUAUCUUAAAAUUGAAAUUUAAAAUUUAAAAUUUAAAAACUGAUAUUUGAAUUUCUAAAUUUGGAAUUUAUCUUAAUUUAAAAUUUAAAAGUUGAAAAUUGAAAUUUAAAAGUUAAAGUUUGAAAUUUAAAAAUUCAAAUAUAAAAUUUUAAGAUUUAAAAUUAAAAUUUUAAUUUUAAUUUAAAAUUUAAAUAUAAAAUCAAAAUAAGUAUUUGAAUUUUUAGUCCAAAACCAAAAUCAGAUUUUGAGAAGUAAGUUUUAAGUGCUUCUAAUUUUAGACUUCAAAGAUUAGAAACCUGAUUCUAAAAUAAAAAAAAAAAAAAUUGUAAAUGAAGUUGUCUAACGCUCUAUUGAGCCGAAAAUCAUUUUUCAAAAGCUACGACAAAUAGAACUACUUGUUCUGCCUACUAGAUUUUUACUUAACUGCCUAUUGUAGCAGUUUAAUUCCAAAUAGAACUAUAACCUUGUUCAUAUUUCUGCAGCUACCUAUUUGCCUUCACAAUCUACAAGUACUUUUCAUUUGUCAUUGUAUACGUUGCUUUGAUAUACAUAUAAGUUAGUAAUCCAAGGUUCAACAGUUUUUUUCUUUCACCAACCGUUCCUAUCGCAAGUGGCAAAAGUGUUUGGUGAUUGAUACCCGAGACCAAAGUUCGAAUCCUAGUUAAUUCACAUUUCCAGCUAAGUUUACUUAUAAAUAAAAUAAAUAAAGUAGGUAGCAUGCAACCUUUCUUUUUAAAAAAAAAAAAGUUUUUUUUCUCUCUUUUUCUCUCUUUUUCGGCAGUUAAGGUUUCAUGUUCAACAGCAAUCCAAGGUGCAAGGUUCAACACUUCCUAGCUUUUGACAAAAGCUAGGCAUAUAAACUGAAACGGAAGGAUAAUAUGCGCAAGUGAGGAAGAAGCUUACGUCUGUUUCGAAUGUCUCCAACAAUGGUGCAGCCUCCAAUAGCAUAGCCAACCAGAGAAGGUCAUCCGUAUCUCCCGUCAGGAUAUUCACUGUCAGAUUCUUGAGGCCGCUAAAGAGUUUGGGUAGGACUGGUGUUGUCAGAUGCUGUGCAACCAGAGAGAGAAAAUAAUAAGAGGAAUAACGCAAAUGUUUUAGGAUAAUAAAUAUGUAAGAAAGAGCCUACUUUGGGACUACAAAGACGCAGAGCCAGAUCCCUAGCAUGUGGGAACUCAAUCGAGAGCCGUUUUAACACAUAGUCCGUGCCGUCAUCAUCGUCGUCGUAAUCUAACCAAACGUGCUCAAGGCAAGGAACAGACGAUAACAACAACGGCACGUAAUUUCCAGAAUACUGCAACCUUUCCAACUUGGGAGCGCUGAGUUCUAUUUUUCCGAGAAAAGGACAGCGGUGUACCGCCAAAUCCUUGAGCCGCGUAUCUUGAGAGCAUAUACGUAAGUACGAGAUGUAAUGGCAUUUCACAAGGUGCAGGCUCUUUAGGUUCCGACAAUUCGCAAUAAUAUCUUCCACGACUUCUCGCGAUACGGCCAUCAUUUUGAAAGAGAGCACUGAUACAGAAGCAAAGCGUCUAAAAUAACAGACGUCGCCCAAUCUGCAAUAACCGAGCUCCAAUUUGGUCAGCGACGAUCCCCUGCCUUUUGAGAAUAACCGCCAUGGGAAGCGGUAGCCUUUCUCGCGCCUGCUUACGUAAGGAAAGAGUUCCAGUUCCUGAACGCCUCUCUUGAUUGCCCUAUCUAACCAAAAAUCGAUGAUUUUUCUGUACUGCCUCUGCAUGUAGAAGUGGAAACUUAGCCUCCUGAUGUUUGAUUUUGGCCUUAAGAGGCCUCUGGCAAAUUUCUUAAAGAGACCCAUUUGUUUUUGCCUUGUUGCUGCCACUUUCAUUCCCUCCAUAAAUUUUGUACCGUGCGACGCAUAGUCGCGUGUCAUACAUCUGUGCACGUGGGAAAUUUGGUUCUCGGAGAGCAUAGUGUUUGCAUGGAGCUCGAUGUUCGUAAGGGAGUUCCAGAGGUGCCUCCACCGCCUCGACAACAAACUCGUCUCCACCGCCGACCUCAGAUCCAUCCGUUCGAGGAUGGAGAUCAGAAUAUGAUCUGGCAACUCGCUAAUUUUAUCUUGUUGAUCAGCUAGCACCUGAAGCAAGAAGGAAAACAAUCCGAAUUACAUAAGCGGCGUCUUCAUAGCAAGUGGUAUUGCGGAGAAUGAAAGCCUGAAUUACGGAAAACGCCCCUGCACUUCACCCAGCACCUGAAUUAACAUCUUCGUAGAGAGGGGCAUAUAUAUCACGUUAAUUUAGACUUGAUUGCCUAUUCUAGCAUGCAAUUUCGAUAAUCUUUAACUGAAACUAGACAUAAAAUCAAUCUCCUACUGUACUAAAAGUUACGAAAUCAGAUAACAGCGAUCCCAUAUUGUACUAUAAGUCUAUAACUACUAAAUUUGUCAGUAUGUUGGACAGCUUAUUUAAUUUACAUACACAAAGUUUUGCAUUCGAAAUCAAUAAUUGUCCCAAAUUUCUUGUGCCGUUUUCCUGUUAAACAUCGAGUAUGAUAAGUGAAGCCGAUUUUAAUUUUGGAACAAAAGGCCCAUUCUAAUGACGGGGAAAUAUGACUUUAACCAAUUUAUUUUUAAAAAUCUUUUUUUUUUUUUGAGAUAAAUAUAGCAUGUUACCCGCCUAGCAACUAGGCUUCAAACUUUGAGAGUUCAGAUACCAACCACCAAACUCUUUGUCACUUGUGUUAGGGACGGCCAGCAAUUUAUUGUUACAAAUCAAUUAUGACAAUUGACCCGCUGAGGCCAAUUUUGUUCUCACAAGUGAAUUUUCUAUAUUCACAAUCAUUUGGCUAAUGUCUGUCGCUCUAAACAGGAAAUUAGUUAAUAAGCAUUGACAGUUAAUACCAGUUAUUGAAAUUUUAAUGUAUAAGCGAAUAUGUCUAGUUUGUACAUAUUUAUAACAAUUUUAUCAAAAGAGUAGCUAAGACACAAGCCAUAAUAUUAAUUUUUUAAAACCUUGAUUCUGGGCUUGAUUUAUGAGANNNNNNNNNNNNUAUAUAUAUAUAUAUAUAUAUAUAUAUUUGUGAGAGAGAUAGUUAACAUACUACCAGCUUCGUCUAUUUCAUUUAAAAAUAAAUUUAGAAUAUUUUUGAGAGAGAGAUAGGUAACACGCUGCUCACUUUAUUUAUUUUAUUUAGAAAUAAAUUUAACUAAGAAUGUGAAUUAUUUAGGACCUUAGAUACCAACCACUAGACUCUAGGGACGGUCGGUAGAUUUCACGGAUGUCAUGUCGUAUAUUUUCUAAAAUAGUAUGUUUGUUGGUAGCUAAGUGGGUGUUUGGUCCAACGCAAAACAGACUAAAAAAUUAUUUAAUGUGUGAAAAAUACUUUUCUUCUUAUUUGAUUUGACAAAAAUAUAUUUUUCUAUAGAAGUACUUUUACAUAUCUAGGAAAAAAAAGUGACGUUUCCGUUCAAGCCGAGUAUUUUUUUUCUACCGAACAAAAUAAAUAAAUAAAUAUAUAUAUUUUCAAAUCAAACAAAUAUUAAUAAAAAUAUUAUUUUUUCCUACAACCAAACACUAUAAAACGUAAAUCUUCUUUUCCACCAAAAACUUUUUCCAUGAAAAUUUGCGUAAAAUCUUUUUUCCACCAAUUUCUCUUCUAUGAAAAAUUAUUUCUUAUAGUUUUAUAUUGAACCAAACGAAAACCAUGCCGCUUGGAUAGAAAAAAUCAUGGCGAAUUCUUGUUGACAGAUUACUCGUAAAACUUAUGUUCCAAUUCACCGCCGUAUUGUAAUUGAUGAUUUCAGAACUACACCAAACUUCUCCGAACUUUGAAUAGAAAACAUGAAAGAUUUUCGAAACAUUACAAACUGCGAAUUCAAACUAAAAGCAAAGCGAGUAAUGAACCGGAAUUUGUACUCUCAUUACCUUUUCACUUGCGGUGCUGCGUCGCCUCUUUCGCUGCUGCGGAGGAAGACGUAAAACAGGCAACAUUCGAUGAGAGAAUUCCAUUGACAACGUGUGGGUUCCUGGUUUAUGGUUUAAGUCACAGCUCCAGCAUCCAGGAGGCUUAUUAUUGAGAACCAAGCAAGGAGGCUAUAUAACUCGAUUUAUAGUAGGAAUUUUUUUUUGUAUUCAUUCAUACAUACAGAGACCAGAUAUGAUUAAAAUGGUAUAAUAUAUCAUUUUUUGGAUAGUUGUGGAUUAACUCUAACAUAUAUCGCUUCGAUUUUCGAUUUCACGGAGAGAGAAUAUUUGUUUUUUUUUUUUGAUGCGGGAAAAUAGAGUUUAGUCGUUUGAUAUUAUCGGUCUGUUUUUGUUAUCUAUAAGAUAACUAUAA
rnacentral:lncRNA from 1 species